UACGUAGGUGGCAAGCGUUGUCCGGAUUUACUGGGCGUAAAGGGCAGGCAGGCGGAUGGUUAAGUAGGAAGUGAAAGGUUGGAGCUCAACUCCAACAUUGCUUCCUAUACUGGCUAUCUUGAGUCCCGGAGGGGAAAGCGGAACGACACGUGUAGCGGUGAAAUGCGUUGAUAUGUGUCGGAACACCAAUGGCGAAGGCAGCUUUCUGGACGGGAACUGACGCUCAUCUGCGAAAGCCGAGGUAGCGAACAGG
rnacentral:rRNA from 1 species